rnacentral:rRNA from 1 species
AACUUUUAACAAUGGAUCUCUUGGUUCUCGCAUCGAUGAAGAACGUAGCAAAUUGCGAUAUCUAGUGUGAAUUGCAUAUUCAGUGAAUCAUCGAGUCUUUGAACGCAUCUUGCACUCAUAGGUAUUCCUAUGAGUACACCUGUUUCAGUA